rnacentral:rRNA from 1 species
UUGGUUGAUCCUGCUAGUAGUCAUAUGCUUGUCUCAAAGAUUAAGCCAUGCAUGUGUAAGUAUGAAUUAAUUCAGACUGUGAAACUGUGAAUGGCUCAUUAAUUCAGACUUGUUUGAUGGUAGCUGCUACUCAGAUAACUGUAGUAUUUAUAGAUCUAAUGUGUACAACAAAACUCAACUUCUAGAAGGGAUACAUUUAUUAGAUAAAAGGUUGAUGUGGGCUCCUCCCAUUGCUACGAUGAUUCAUGAUAACUGGAUGGAUCGUAUGGCCCUUGUGCCGGAGAUGCAUCAUUCAAAUUUUUACCCUAUCAACUUUCGAUGGUGGGAUAGUAGCCUACUAUGGUAGUGACGAGUGAUAGAGAAUUAGGGUUUGAUUUCGGAGAUUGUCCCUUUUGUUGACGAUGCGCUCCUGGCCUUAACUGGUCGGGUCGUGCCUCAAAGCAAGCUUACGCUCUGGAUACAUUAGCAUUGGAUAACAUUAUAGGAUUUGGGUCCUAUUAUGUUGGCCUUUGGGAUCAGAGUAAUGAUUAAUAGUUACAAUCGGAGACAAUCAUAUUUCAUAGUCAGAGAUGAAAUUCUUGGAUUUAUAAAAGAUGAACAACUGCAAAAGCAUUUGCCAAGGAUGUUCUCAUUAAUCAAGAAUGAAAGUUGGGGGCUCGAAGAUGAUUAGAUAUCAUCCUUGUCUCAACUAUAAACGAUGCCGACUAGGGAUCGACGGGUGUUGCUUAUAGGAUUCGACUGGCACCUUAUGAGAAAUUAAAGUUUUUGGGUUUCA